CGCGCGCUCUCUCUCUCUCUCACAGAGAAUCGAUCACCACUGCCCUUCAUCUUGCCAUCGCAGACGACCACAAUUUCUGUCAAUCUUUCACUGUCGAACAUUGCUACCGCAACUCACCAUUUCCUCGCCUCGCCUCCCAUUGAUUCGCUUCCGGCAGCUUACUUCUCUCUAUAUUUUUUUCUCUCCUCAUCUUCUCUUUUCCUCACCAGAUCGAUGACAAUCUUCCUCCCUUUACUUCUCUCUGUGUUCGAUUUUUGUUGGUUCAUGAUCUAUGUUCAAAAUUAUAUAUAUAUGUGUGCGUGUGUGUGUAAAGCUUUAGUGAUUUCUAUAUGUGUGUGUGUAAUUGGGUAUCUGAUUGUUCGAUUUCGAAACCCUAAUGGCGGAAAUGGAAAUUCGAAGUCUGUAUAUGUGUGUAAUUGGAUAUAUGAUUGUUGUUUGAUUUGGUUGUUGGAAACCUAGAGGAAAUGCUUUUGGUUACGUUUAUCCAACUGUUGAUUACCAGGUACAUGCUGAUUUAAAAUCAAAAUUGAAUUAUUUUUUGUGUGCUUAGAAUGAAAUUGAGCUAGGGCUAAAUUAGAGAAGCUGUUCUGAUUGUUGGAUUUGAUUAUUUUGGAUUGAUUUGGGGGAUUUUUGAUGGAAAUUAUUGUCAUUUUGGAUUCAAGUGUUAUUAGUUUGAAAGAAGUGUUUUCAAUUCCCUUUUCUAAUUGAUUUUGCAGGUAUAUGCUGAUUUAGACUCAAUGUUUUUUUUUUUUUCCUGUUGUUAGUAUGGACGUGUAUAUUUGUAUAGGCUGAUUUUUUUUUCGUUGUUGAAUGGAAGAAGAGGUAUGUUUUAUGAUAGGCAUAACAGUUUAAUUGCCAUAUUGUCCAAUGAAUAUUUGUAUAGGCUAAUUCUUUGGACAUUUACUAGCCUUGCUCCUCAAUAAUUCUGAAAUUUCGUUCACUGAUUGCAGUAGGAUUGACGGGAAUGCACUAUCUGGGAAGAUACCUGAUCUGAUCGAGAAUUGGACAAAAAUUGUGAGAUUGGACAUGCAAGGCAUAUCUAUGGAUGGCCCUAUUCCUUUGACCAUUGCCCAACUGAAAGACUUAACUGAAUUGAGGAUAUCUGAUUUGAAUGGAUCAAGUAUGAAAUUCCCUGAUCUACAGGAGUUGAAAAUGUUGAACACACUG